AGAGUUUGAUCAUGGCUCAGGAUGAACGCUAGCGGCGUGCCUAAUGCAUGCAAGUCGAACGGGAUCCUUUAGAUUCGUCUGAAGGUGAGAGUGGCGAACGGGUGAGUAUCGCGUUGGUGACCUGCCCCAGAGAGGGGGACAACCAGUGGAAACGCUGGCUAAUACCCCGGAUGUUAUUGUCUUUAGAAAGCAAUGACUGAAACUCCGGUACUCUGGGAGGGGCCUGCGUCCCAUCAGCUUGUUGGUAAGGUAAUGGCUUACCAAGGCUAAGACGGGUAGGGGGCGUGAGAGCGUGGCCCCCCACACUGGUACUGAAACACGGACCAGAUACCUACGGGUAGCAGCAGCAAGGAAUAUUGCCCAAUGGACGAAAGUCUGAGGCAGCAACGCCGCGUGGAGGAUGAAGGCUUUCGGGUCGUAAACUCCUUUUCUGGGGGAAGAGAAAGGACGGUACCCCAGGAAUAAGGCCCGGCUAACUACGUGCCAGCAGCCGCGGUAAAACGUAGGGGUCGAGCGUUAUCCGGAUUUACUGGGCGUAAAGCGCAUGUAGGCGGUUACUUAAGUCGGACGUGAAAGCUCCUGGCUCAACUGGGAGAGGUCGUUCGAAACUAGGUAACUUGAGGAUGGUAGGGGAAAGUGGAAUUCCAGGUGUAGUGGUGAAAUGCGUAGAUAUCUGGAGGAACACCAGUGGCGAAGGCGGCUUUCUGGGCCAUUCCUGACGCUGAGAUGCGAAAGCUAGGGGAGAGAACGGGAUUAGAAACCCCGGUAUUCCUAGCCGUAAACGAUGUCAACUAGGUGUAGGGGGUAUUGACCCCCCCUGUACUGCAGCUAACGCGUUAAGUUGACCGCCUGGGGACUACGGCCGCAAGGCUAAAACUCAAAGGAAUUGACGG
rnacentral:rRNA from 1 species